CCCCCCCCCCCCCCCCCCCCCCCCCCCCCCCCCCCCCCCCCCCCCCCCCCCCCCCCCCCCCCCCCCCCCCCGCGCUCGGCUCUGCCGGCCCGGCUCCGCCGCGCUGCCCUGCGAUGAGAGCGAAGCGCUGGACAGCGUCCAGGACGUGUACAGGGAGGGCAUCUUCGAGUCGGACAGGCUCGAUUUCCUGUUGGGAGAGAAGGGCGGGAGCUGCCGGGGGCGAUCCCACCUGGCGAGGGACCCCUGGCCAGUACUGGUCAGCACUGGGGGUCCCUGGUCAGUACUGGGGGGAUCCCUGGUCAGAACUGGAGGGUCCCUGGUCAGUACUGGGGGGUCCCUGGUCUGUACUGGAGGGUCCCUGGUCAGUACUGAGGGUUCCCUGGUCUGUACUGGGGGGUCCCUGGUCAGCACUGGGGGGGGUCCCUGGUCCCCCCCCCCCCCCCCCCCCCCCCCCCCCCCCCCCCCCCCCCCCCCCCGCCGGGGGCCAUCCCACCUGGCGAGGGACCCCUGGCCAGUACUGGUCAGCACUGGGGGUCCCUGGUCAGUACUGGGGGGAUCCCUGGUCAGAACUGGAGGGUCCCUGGUCAGUACUGGGGGGUCCCUGGUCAGUGCUGGGAGAUGCCUCGCCUUGGGUUCUCUGGGGAAAAAAGACCCCAAGUUCUCCGUGUUACCCCCUUCCCUCUGCAGGAUUUUGUCGCACGCAGGGAAUUCCAGACCUGAAGAGGGGAGCGACGUAGCUGCUGGGGAAGAGCCCGACCCUGCCGGUGAGCAGGGACAUGCCCCGCAGCCAGCCGUCCUGCUCCGUGCCGAGCACACGUAGCCCCUCUCCCCUGCGCAGCUGCAGCUCGGCGGGGCCGUGCGCCGCGUACGGGCGCAGCGCCACGCACCUGCGGAGAGCAGCGGGUCAGCCCUGCGCCGCGCAGCGCCCGGCUGCAGCGGGCGGGCAGCUCCUCUCGAGGGCGGUGCCAUCCGCUCCAGGAGUCGAUGAGUUCCAGCACAACGCCACAGCUCUCGGGUGUUAUUUCCAAAACACAAACAACAGCUGGGGGGGUCUGGCCGGUCAGGGGCUGCCCCAGCACUCUCAGAAAGGUUUCUCUCCCUGUUUUUCAGCACAAGCUUCUGGAGGUUUGGCCGGGGGCCGGUCUGAGUGAGGGGCUGUUCCCAGCUGUGCCCUGGCUGCUCAGGAGCACUGUGUGAGCGCUGGCCUGGCUCUGCCUCUGUGCAAAGCACCCAGCUGCUGGGGUGCCCUCACACCACCCUUCUGCAAAUUAUUGUAAUGUCUGGGGAGCUCUCUUGUCUUUUGGAUUCGUGCUGGAGUCUCGGCUGGAUGAUGGUGUGGUGAGGGUGCUACUCCUGGGCACAGCAUUCCCACAGCCUGGCUCUGCACCAGGGGGGCUCAGCGCUGCGCAAGCAGCAUGUUGGGAUGCUGUUAUAAUUUUAGAUGCUUUACCAAAGUGCCAGGGUGGUGAACCUUUCCUUGAUAUAAUCAUCAUAGAGCGUUAUCUGCAAAUUUUAACUCUGUGAAAGUUUUCAAAAACCGGAUUGCUCAAAACACCGGUGGCUAUGAAGGUUUCAGGAUAAAUAACUAGAGGCACUUAAGGAGUAAUUAGUUUCUUUGCAAUUAAAAACAUUUAAAAUGCAUUGCUGACAAACAGGCAGAGCUGUUUCUCCCCAGGUUCUGCAGGGAGGCAGAAGGAUGCACUCAGCUGUGGCACCAGGUCUCUGCCACCCCCUGCUCAGAGCAGCCAGUCCAUCCCAGCACGGAUCUGCAUUCAGACCCAAGGAGAGGCUGCAGGAAAUCCCAGCCCACCCCCAAAGCACCCCAGUAUCUCACGUACAGGUAAGCUGGCCCCUGCUGCUGCAGGUGGGGCAGGGUGACGAUGGCAGCCGGGGGCCCCAGGGCUCCUGCUGAGGGGUGGGAAGAGGCGCUGACCUACGGGAGAAGGGAAGCAGAGAAAACAAAGCAUUAAUCUGCUUAUCAGCUUCUUUCAGCCCCUGCAGGAGCAGCUAACAUUGGACUGGCUUCACCCACCCUUCAAAAAUUACCAAUGGCACUUCAGGAAAUAGAAGAGUCUGGAGCAUUUGAGUUUAAAAAAGAGCAGGCAGCAAGAGGAAGACUCAGAAUCAGAGAAUCCUUUAGGCUGGAAAAGCCUCCAGGGUCACCGAGGUGACAGAUCCCCCUGUCCUUUCCCCACUGUCACUUUGCACUGCAGGUGCAACCAGGCACUGGGAUGUCCACUGUGUGUCCUGGAGGGGCUCCCUGGGGUUCCAGGGAGGAGCUGAAGCCCUGUCCUGCUGCUGAGGGAGCUGAGCCUGUGCUGAGCCUGUGCUGUGUCUGAGUCUGUGCUGUGUCUGUGUCUGUGCUGUGUCUGUGUCCCCCCCCCCCCCCCCCCCCCCCCCCCCCCCCCCCCCCCCCCCCCCCCCCCCCCCCCCC
ensembl:lncRNA